CACUCCUGCGGGAGGCAGCAGUGGGGAAUAUUGGACAAUGGGCGCAAGCCUGAUCCAGCCAUGCCGCGUGAGUGAUGAAGGCCCUAGGGUUGUAAAGCUCUUUCACCGGUGAAGAUAAUGACGGUAACCGGAGAAGAAGCCCCGGCUAACUUCGUGCCAGCAGCCGCGGUAAUACGAAGGGGGCUAGCGUUGUUCGGAUUUACUGGGCGUAAAGCGCACGUAGGCGGACUAUUAAGUCAGGGGUGAUAUCCCGGGGCUCAACCCCGGAACUGCCUUUGAUACUGGUAGUCUUGAGUUCGAGAGAGGUGAGUGGAAUUCCGAGUGUAGAGGUGAAAUUCGUAGAUAUUCGGAGGAACACCAGUGGCGAAGGCGGCUCACUGGCUCGAUACUGACGCUGAGGUGCGAAAGCGUGGGGAGCAAACAGGAUUAGAAACCCCUGUAGUCCCAUG
rnacentral:rRNA from 1 species